rnacentral:sRNA from 1 species
AGACGGGCAGAUCACCUGAGGUCAGGAGUUCGAAACCAGCCUGGCCAACAUGGCAAAAACCCGUCUUUACUAAAAAAAAAAUUAAAAAAUUAGCCAGGCAUGGUGGCACAUGCCUGUAAUCCUGGCUACUCAGGAGGCUGAGGCAGGAGAAUCGCUUGAACCCAGGAGGCAGAGGUUGCAGUGAGCAGAGAUCGUGCCAUUACACUCCAGCCUGGGCAACAGAGCGAGACUCUGUCUCAAAUUAAAAUAAAAUAAAAUAAAAUUCCCUUUGGAGAGAAAUUAAUUAUUAACAUAGGAGGAAGUCAUUUCAUGGAAAAAUAUAAAAUCUUGCUAUCAAUGAGAAGAAAAGUAAUUGACUUUAAGGUAUGAGAUGCCUGUUAAGCCAGAAAAUAAAUAAGCAAUGAUAAAACCUAUAUUGGUGGCCAGGCGUGGUGGCUCACGACUGUAAUCCCAGCACUUUGGGAAGCUGAGGCAUGCAGAUUGCUUGAGCUCAGGAGUUCGAGACCAGCCUGGGCAACAUGGCAAAACUCUGUCUCUACAAAAAAAUACAAAAAUUAGCCAGGUGUGGUGGCACAUGCCUGUAGUUCCAGCUGCUCUGGAGGCUGAUGUGGGAGGAUCACUUGAGCCUGGGAAGUGGAGGUUACAGUGAGGCGAGAUUGCACCACUGCACUCCAGCCUGGGUGAUAGAGUGAGACCUUGUCUCAGAAAACAAAACAAAACAAACAAAAAAAAACUAUGUUGAGUGGUGCUGUGGAGAAACAGGUACAUUGUUGAUGUUUCUGUGAGUUCGUUUAGUCUUUCUGUACAGUCUAGCAGGAAGCAAUAGCAGCCCUAAUGUAUGUAAAACCUUGGACUCCAUGGUCCUACUAAAUAUGCCCUAAUAAAAUGAAUAUUUUGCUUCUUUA